rnacentral:rRNA from 1 species
UACGAAGGGGGCUAGCGUUGCUCGGAAUCACUGGGCGUAAAGGGUGCGUAGGCGGGUCUUUUAAGUCAGGGGUGAAAUCCUGCAGCUUAACUGCAGAACUGCCGUGGAUACUAUCUAUCUUGAAUGUCGUGGAGGUUAGCGGAAUAUGUCAUGUAGCGGUGAAAUGCUUAGAUAUGACAUAGAACACCCAUUGCGAAGGCAGCUAACUACGCGAUAAUUGACGCUGAUGCACGAAAGCGUGGGGAUCAAACAGGA